UCGUGAUUAAGGUCAAGCGCGAGAGUAAGAACUACACAAGGAGUUAGAGUACCUUAGCAAAACUUUGCUAUCAGGUUGAGCUGUGAUGGGCGAUGAAGUAUUGCUGAGUGGAGUUUUUGUCGAACUUAAAGUAGGCUCAGAAAGGAUACAUGUCUUCAUACAUGUAUCUCAGUUAUGCAUUCCGCUGUAAACACUGAUUAUUUCAGUUAGGCCUUCCGUUGCAAACUCUGAUAAUGUUUUAGCCAAGCCCCUAACGAUGCCUUAUUCCUUUUUAAGGAAUAUUUCACGCGUAUUCAAGCUCUUUGAGUAUUCUUUUAUGCGCCCCUUUCUAAACCCGCUUCGUAAUUUCCCUUCCCCAGUCAUGGUUUCCCGGCUUAAUUAUCCCUAAUUAAGGCCGGUCGUGACAGAGUGGUAUCAGAGCAGUUCGUUUGCUCUGAGCCUAAGAGUUCAUUUAAGCCAAACUUAGAAUGGAUCACUAAAGUGUCUAGAGUUCAAUCGACAAAGCUCAGCACUUCAUCGCAUCACACUCAACGAAGCAGAAUGGUAAGCUAUUUCAAGUUUUGAGAUAAUGUUUACAAAAAGUGACAAAGUGUGUAACUGUUAAUAGCUAUGUUAUGUUGUUGAAUGAAAUGAUUUAUGCAAACA